rnacentral:rRNA from 1 species
AUUGAACGCUGGCGGCAGGCCUAACACAUGCAAGUCGAACGAGUGGCGGACGGGUGAGUAAUGUCUGGGAAACUGCCCGACGGAGGGGGAUAACUUCUGGAAACGGUAGCUAAUACCGCAUACCAUCGGGUGGGCCAAUGUGGGAUUAGCUAGUGGGUGGGGUAAAGGCUCACCAAGGCGACGAUCCCUAGCUGGUCGGAGAGGAUGAACAGCCAAACUGGAACUGAGACACGGUCCAGACUCCUACGGGAGGCAGCAGUGGGGAAUAUUGCACAAUGGGCGCAAGCCUGAUGCAGCCAUGCCGCGUGUGUGAAGAAGGCCUUCGGGUUGUAAAGUACUUUAAGCGAGGAGGCGUUACUCGCAGAAGAAGCACCGGCUAACUCCGUGCCAGCAGCCGCGGUAAUAC